GCUGGUGUAGCACAGUGGUAGUGCAGCUGAUUCGUAAUCAGCAGGUCGUGAGUUCGAGUCUCAUCACCAGCUCCA
rnacentral:tRNA from 1 species